UACGUAGGGUGCAAGCGUGUCCGGAAUUAUUGGGCGUAAAGAGCUCGUAGGCGGUCUGUUACGUCGGCUGUGAAAACCUGGGGCUCACCCCGGGCCUGCAGCCGAUACGGGUAGACUAGAAUUCGGUAGGGGAGACUGGAAUUCCUGGUGUAGCGGUGGAAUGCGCAGAUAUCAGGAGGAACACCGGUGGCGAAGGCGGGUCUCUGGGCCGACAUUGACGCUGAGGAGCGAAAGCGUGGGGAGCGAACAGGAUUAGAACUACCGUGUC
rnacentral:rRNA from 1 species